UUUGCGAUAUGAUGCUAAAAGACAGAGAUAUCAAAGGCACUUGUGAUGCUGAAUAUAUGUUAUUUGCACGUCAGUCUGAUCCAAA